rnacentral:tRNA from 1 species
GCCAUCUUAGCUCAGUGGUAGAGCGCGUGGCUUUUAACCACGUGGUCGUGGGUUCGAUCCCGUAGACGGUG